GUGGGUAUAGCUCAGUGGUGGAGUGCAUGCUUAGCAUGCAUUAGGUCCUGGGUUCAGUCCCUAGUACUUUCA
rnacentral:tRNA from 1 species